GGGGGCGUCUAGCCUCGAUGGAUUAGGACUUUGAAAAAUGCAGCGUGAGGAUGCGAGGUUUCCUCAUAAAUCUUCCUUCGCAAACUUUCAAGUGCAAAUAAUACUGCACCUGCCCUCGCUUACGCUUAAUCGCUAAGCAAGGUGUCUCUCCUGUUGUGGCCUCAAAGACAGGAAGAGGCAUUAUAUUUGAGGAUUACCGCGAAAACCCUCCCGACUUCGCGGGAAAUUAAAGGGAGAAACUUUUGAAUUAUUUUGCUUCUUUUUUAAUUCAAGAGUACACAAAGGAGCUAACGCUGUAGAAUUUUUUCAAUCCACUUUUUCAGACAGGAGUGCAAAUCUCCUCGCCUCCACUA
rnacentral:tmRNA from 1 species